UACAGAGGGGGCAAGCGUUGUUCGGAAUUACUGGGCGUAAAGGGCGCGUAGGCGGCCUUCUAAGUCGAACGUGAAAUCCCUCGGCUCAACCGGGGAACUGCGUCUGAUACUGGAUGGCUUGAAUUCGGGAGAGGGAUGCGGAAUUCCAGGUGUAGCGGUGAAAUGCGUAGAUAUCUGGAGGAACACCGGUGGCGAAGGCGGCAUCCUGGACCGAGAUUGACGCUGAUGCGCGAAAGCCAGGGGAGCCAAACGGG
rnacentral:rRNA from 1 species